rnacentral:rRNA from 1 species
UACGGAGGGUGCGAGCGUUGUCCGGAAUCAUUGGGCGUAAAGGGCGCGUAGGUGGCCCGGUCAGUUCGUGGUGAAAGCGCGGGGCUCAACCCUGCGUCGGCCAUGAAUACUGCCGCGGCUGGAGCACUGUAGAGGCAGGCGGAAUUCCGGGUGUAGCGGUGGAAUGGCGUAGAGAUCCGGAAGAACACCGGUGGCGAAGGCGGCCUGCUGGGCAGUUACUGACACUGAGGCGCGACAGCGUGGGAGCAACAGG